rfam:Methanomethylovorans hollandica DSM 15978, complete genome.
UAGGGACCAGAGACUUCCCUGUCCGCUCAGGGAAAUAUAGCUGCAGACUGUGCCGGUGGCAUGAAAAGCAGUGACAGUCACGAGGUCUCACAGCUCAAUG